UGACGGGGAGGGCGCGGAAGCGCGCGUCUCUAUGGUUCCCGCGUGGGGCAGAGCGCCCGCUCCGGGGCCUUGGUUGUGUUGGCGCCGCCGGGAGGCUGGCGGACUAUGAGUGUCCGUCCCUCAUUACCUCACGGCCGGGAGGAGGAGGAGGAGGAGGAGGCUGCCGGGAUAGCGGCGGACCUGCCCGCGGCCUCGCUCCGGUCCUCCGGCCGCCCCGGGAAGCCCCGGCCGCGGCGGGCCCUGCCCGCUCCCCCGCCCGCCGGGCCCGCUUCUCCGGGGAGCCUCGCCCAGGCCCAUGGCCCCAUGAGGCGGCAGAAGGCUGCGGGGCAGCAGCGGCGGCGGCGGGGCUGAGGCGGAGGAGAAGCCGGGACGGGUGCAGGAGGGUUCUGCAGUGCUCCAGGCAGCGAGUUUUGAAGCAGGAUGGGAAAAAGACGCUGUGUUCCUCCACUUGAGCCCAAGCUGGCAGCUGGCUGUUGUGGGGUGAAGAAGCCCAAAUUGUCUGGGAGUGGAACGCACAGUCAUGGGAAUCAGACCACAACUGUACCAAGCUCCAGUUCAGGUCCUCUUCAGAACCACCAGCAUACAGAUGGGAAUAAUGGAAGGGAGAAUGUAUCUGACUUGACUUUGGGCCCAGGAAAUUCCCCAAUUACUCGAAUGAAUCCAACUUCAGGAGCUCUGAGCCCACUUACUCGGCCCAAUGGAACUGCCAACAGCACCAAGAACCUGGUGGUGACAGCAGAGAUGUGCUGCUACUGCUUUGAUGUACUCUACUGUCAUCUCUAUGGGUUCCCUCAGCCACGGCUUCCUCGAUUUACCAAUGACCCCUAUCCACUCUUUGUGACGUGGAAGACGGGGCGAGACAAGCGGCUGCGUGGCUGCAUCGGGACCUUCUCAGCCAUGAAUCUUCACUCAGGACUCAGGGAAUACACAUUAACCAGUGCACUUAAGGACAGCCGAUUUCCCCCCCUGACCCGCGAGGAGCUGCCCAAACUCUUCUGCUCUGUCUCCCUCCUCACUAACUUUGAGGAUGCCAGUGACUACCUGGACUGGGAGGUUGGAAUCCAUGGGAUCAGAAUAGAGUUCAUCAAUGAGAAAGGUGUCAAACGCACAGCCACGUAUUUACCUGAGGUUGCUAAGGAACAAGAGUGGAGUGGUCGCAUCCUCCUGGCUCUGGGGCAAAAGACUAAGACUGGGAUCAGAUCCAGACCAUAGACUCCUUACUCAGGAAAGGUGGCUUUAAGGCUCCCAUUACCAAUGAUUUUAGGAAAACAAUUAAACUUACCAGGUACCGCAGUGAGAAGGUGACAAUCAGUUAUGCAGAGUACAUGGCCUCCCGCCAGCAUUGUUUCCAGAACGGCACCCUUCAUGCUCCCCCCCUCUACAAUCAUUACUCCUGACACACGGCUGCAUGACCAGUCCCACUCCCCAGUUGCUGCCAACGGCUAUGACAUCAUCGGGGCAGACGCCUCCUCUUCCUGGUCCAGUUACUUCUAUUACUGCACCAUUUUAUGAUGCUAGCUUCCGUUGCCAAGUCUGCCUUCCCACUGACCUGGGGGGAGGAUGAGAGCGUGACAGGACUUCAGGGGCCCAAGCCUUAUCUCAGUCUUCCCUCCGAGCGGGGGUUCAGUUGGAUUGGGGCUCCAUGCCUACGAACUGUCGUGAGGUGCAGAAGACCUUUAGGAGUGAAAGUGCUGCUACGGACUGAUCUGUUCCUGGGUGUUACUGAUGCUCUGGAAACUUGAGUUGUUUGUUAUGGAAGCCCCCCAGAUCACGUAGGAGCAUUCCCCUGGCAGCCUGGGCAACGGAGUCCAACAAAACAUUUUUUAGGUUCUUUUUAAUUUUUUUUUAACCUCUGGUAUCUGUUGUGUACUGAGAGCUGAUUGCAGUCCCCACGCAUCACAGGCGGACAUCAUAAUAUUGGGGAGGGUUGAACACCUGGAUAGCACCCCAUCCUCGUGGACAGAAAACAUGUGAAAAAUUAAUCCAUUAUUUAAAUAAACCCUUGAAGGCUUUAAGGCUCAUAUCCUUGGUAGGUUGGAUUCUUGGGGAUGAAGCCUGCUAUGAAAUAUAAUGCUGUUUUGCCUGUGAGUGACAUGGCACAUGCUGUGCACACAGAGGAGAUCCUUGAGUGUGCCUGGACAGUCUCUGUUACAACCAAAUUUUGUUUCCAAAUAUUUGUAAGAUACAGGAUUAGGGCUGGGGAGGCCCCUAGGGUUUGCAGAGCACUGACUGUAGUCAUACAAGUGAGACCAGUGACUGAAAUUUGUUUUAAUUGAAGCUAACAGUCUUGGGGACUUUCCUUUUGAUAGAACAGCCACUUUUGCUGGUAUGAUUACUGAUCUUAGGGACUGUGAGUGUUCCAGUUUAUUCCAGACCUGUGGAAUGGUGCUGUUCAGUUUUGCUGGUAGGAUUUAUCUUACUCAGCUUAGUCAUUGCCCAGGCAGUGAGUGGGGAAAUCUGUAUUACCCAAACUGCAUGAAACUCAUGUGCACUCUGUAUUUCUUCUCCCGUGGUUGAUGAUCACAAGGAAUAUUCUUUUCUGAAAGAAAGCUACAAGUUGUUAUUCUGCAGCAUCAUUGAGGGAUGUCAUAAACUCUAAAUUAUGACACUCUUUCAAUGAGAUAACUGGACUUCAGAAUACAAUUUGGGGUGGGUUUGGUUGGUUUUCCAAGCUUCUGGAGGGUCAUGAAUGGUCAGGGAAGAACAUACAAGUGCAUAGCAGAGUCAUGGCUGUUUGGCUGCACACAUCUUUAGAGCCUGCUUGUGUGUUGUAAUUGGCUGGUGUUUGAAGACUGAAAUUAUGCCGUGGUAUGGCAGGGAAUAGGGCAAGUAGGAAGCUGAGAACUGCAGGGUGCUGCUCCUGGUCCUAAGGAAGCAAGGCACAGCUUGUGCCAUUUUGCUUCAUGUUCAUGUAAGUUCUGCUGAAGGAGAGAGAUGUGAGGGAGAUUCCUCUGGAUAACAGUGCAAUAUUGACCCAGCUUUCCUUCCAUAUUGGGUCUUUCCUACAAAUUGCCACUUUUCCCUUGUGAUGUUGUUGAAAAGCAAUUGAAGAUGAAAGGAUUGUUUCGUGACUUCUUGCUGCUGAGAAUAAAUGAGUCUCGUUACAAGCCACUCCAGUUUCUAAUUGCUCCCCCAGGUGCCGCAUAGUGAUGGGGGAGGAUGGGGUCAGCUCCAGGCAUACCACUCACCUUUCAGCUGUCAAACAGUAUGAUACAUAGGGCUACGCUCAUUACUGUUCAAGUGUUCUAUGUUAGAAUUUAAUUUCUAAAAGGUUUAAAAAAAGGCGAAAAAAUGGUGCUAAAACUUCACCCCUGAGCACGCUCGGUGAGACUGGUCAUGCAGGCAUACAGUGCCAGGCUUUUCAACUAUACUGUUUCUUUUUCAGGUGUUUGCCCUGUUCUGUGUCUUCAACAGUGUAUAGUGUUUUCCUGAUUUCAGUUUCUUUGACUAGGGGAUGACUAAAGGGUGGGGUGGGGAGGGUUAGUUGUCAUUUUUUUAAAGAACAGAAUUUUAGGAUUGAGUAACUUGGUUGGUUUAAGCCUGAAGUGGGACAGAUGGUUUGGGACUGGGGAAAAGUCUUAUCCUCUCCCACUUCUAUUUCCCCACUCAGUCUGUUUAAAAAAACAAACAAAACAUAAAUGCCUCUAAAUAUGUACUGUGUUCUUGUCUUGUUGCAGUGAGAAGAUGGCAGAUCAGAAACACUGGUCUGCUGCCUAAGGAACAGGCCCUCUCAGUUUAGUCCCAUAAAGGGUCCAGCUAUAAAAUCAAUUGAAAACUGUGUCAAUAGCUAAGUCAGCUCAGAGAAAUGUAUAACAAAGACAGGUGGUCUCAGGAAAUAAUCCCGUUUCUAGAUCAUUACAUGGCAGCUAUGCAUAAGGAUGAAAGAGGUAGUUUUUCAAGGUAGAGGUAGUUCAAACUGUAGUUUGAAUUGCCUCAAGAUGGAGACAACCAAAAUCAGUGCCCAAUUGAUCUGAGAUUUUCCCCGUGGUUGCUUGGCUGGGACAGCUGGUUAGAACUACUCAAAGCAACUCUUACCUGGUUUGAUCUGGAUUAACUCAUCCUUAGAAGCAAGUGCCUUUUGGUCUAGAAGGGCUUAUUCUCAUGACAACCACAACUGAUAAAUAAUCUCACUGCAAUGAUGAAAUGUCUUUGUUUUACAGUAACUACAGGAGAAUGUCUUUGAUCACUGGAGUCUGUCAGUGUUGAAAUGUUUCCACUGUGAGGUUCUUAAUUUUUUUUUUUUUUCAUGUUGUUCAACAGUCAAUCUCAACUGAAGCCAUUUCAGUUUGGGUAUGUUAUAUGGUCAAAAUAUCACAUAUCUACAAUUUAUCAGAACAAAAUAAAAAAUCUGUAAGGAAAUCUAAGAGUUCAUUUUAACCUUUGCACAGAAUAAUUUGUUUUCAUAGUACAUUAACAAACCUCUGCAGUCUUCACUGACUAUUAGUGCUGUUUUCUGUUUGUAUCCAGAAACUACAUGUUGUUUUGUUGGGGGUUUUUUUUGGUUAAUUUAUUUCCUUAAAGCAGGAGACCUCUUUUGACCUACAGUGCAGAGACGUUAGACCAAUUCUUUAUAUUACACUUGGUUGCCUCCUACCUAUAUAAUAAUUUCUGAGUGUAAAUAAUUGAACUCUAUCCUCUAAUGAAGUAUUGUAGAGAAUAAAUCAUAAUGGA